UACGUAGGCAGCGAGCGUUGUUCGGAAUUACUGGGCGUAAAGGGCGCGUAGGCGGCCUGCUAAGUCGAACGUGAAAUCCCCGGGCUCAACCCGGGAACUGCGUCCGAUACUGACAGGCUUGAAUCCGGGAGAGGGAUGCGGAAUUCCAGGUGUAGCGGUGAAAUGCGUAGAUAUCUGGAGGAACACCGGUGGCGAAGGCGGCAUCCUGGACCGGCAUUGACGCUGAGGCGCGAAAGCCAGGGGAGCAAACGGG
rnacentral:rRNA from 1 species